rnacentral:rRNA from 1 species
CCUUCGGGCUAGUGGCGGACGGGUGAGUAACACGUGGGAACGUACCUUUAGGUUCGGAAUAACUCAGGGAAACUUGAGCUAAUACCGAAUGUGCCCUUCGGGGGAAAGAUUUAUCGCCUUUAGAGCGGCCCGCGUUAGAUUAGCUAGUUGGUGGGGUAAUGGCCCACCAAGGCUACGAUCUAUAGCUGGUCUGAGAGGAUGAUCAGCCACACUGGGACUGAGACACGGCCCAGACUCCUACGGGAGGCAGCAGUGGGGAAUCUUGCGCAAUGGGCGAAAGCCUGACGCAGCCAUGCCGCGUGAAUGAUGAAGGUCUUAGGA